rnacentral:SRP_RNA from 1 species
GUUAAGGUCUUAUGCAACGAUGCCCUGUGAACCGUGUCAGGGUAGGAAUACAGCAGCACUAAGUAGGUAGUGUCGUGUGCCAUAAGGUAGCUUUAGCCG